rnacentral:rRNA from 1 species
AUUGAACGCUGGCGACAGGCCUAACACAUGCAAGUCGAGCGCGAAAGUCUUCGGAUGAGUAAAGCGGCGAACGGGUGAGUAAUGCAUGGGAAUCUGCCUGGUAGUGGGGGACAACGUCUCGAAAGGGACGCUAAUACCGCAUACGCCUACGGGGGAAAGGGGGGGAGUCUUCGGACCUCUCGCUAUCAGAUGAGCCCAUGUCAGAUUAGCUAGUUGGUGAGGUAAAGGCUCACCAAGGCGACGAUCUGUAACUGGUCUGAGAGGAUGAUCAGUCACACUGGAACUGAGACACGGUCCAGACUCCUACGGGAGGCAGCAGUGGGGAAUAUUGGACAAUGGGGGGCAACCCUGAUCCAGCCAUGCCGCGUGUGUGAAGAAGGCCCUAGGGUUGUAAAGCACUUUCAGUGGGGAGAAAGGUUAUUCACCUAAUACGUGAGUAGAUUGAUGUUACCCACAGAAGAAGCACCGGCUAACUCCGUGCCAGCAGCCGCGGUAA